rnacentral:tRNA from 1 species
GAGGGUAUAGCUCAGUAGUAGAGUGCGUGCUUAGCAUGCAUGAGGUCCUAGGUCCAGUCCCUAGUACUUCCA